GUUUCCUCCAAGUCAAUCUCAUGCUAAUGUUUUUCCAUUACAGCAUCGUAUUAACCAGAAGCUGCAUUUACCUGGACCAUACAUCAGCCCGAGCCUGUCUCCAGUGAAGAGUUGUGUCGUGCUGGAGGGACCAUUCAUCACACCUGCCCAGCUUCUGGAGGCUCUCCUGGGCUUUGGUGUCUUAGGUUAGAGCUGGGCAAAGAGGAAGCUGCUCAGGAUUGGAAGGUGGGAGAGAAGCAUCAGCCAUCACUCUCUGAGGUCGCCACAGUCAGAUGGAGUGACAGAUGAAGAGAUGCCUGCUUCCCUCAAUUAUGCAAAUUCUAGGUCUGAUUCCUAGAAUAAAUACUGGAUCUCAAAGCACUCACAGGAUUCUGCUCCCCUGGCUGAACUCUGGUGGAAAUGAUGUCAUGUGACUUCGAAACUAGGCCUUAAGAGUCCUUGCAGUUUUCCCUGUCCUGAGGCCACAUCAUGCUGUGAAAAAACCCAACUUAGCAGAGGCUGAGAAGUUACACGGAGGAGAAUGGAAGAGCCCUGGUCAAUACACACAACUGUGAAAAAAAUAACUCACUGUAGACAUUUUUUUUAGGCUGAGAAAAUAUUUUUCUAUUAAUUGGUUGAUCUGUCAUUAUAUUCCAUUGCAUAGUCAGUGAUAAUAUACUAAGUAAAGUUUAGUGUAACCAUAUUAGAAUAAUCUAAAUUUGAAGAUAUUUAUUAGCUUUAUUAACUUAUACAAAAUAAAAUUCACUGCUUUUUUAUCGUGGUAAAAUAUAGACAACAUACAAUUAACCAUUUCAGCUACUUUUAGGUGUGCAGGUCAGUGGCAUUAGGUACAGUCACAUUGUUGUAUAAACAUCAUCACUAUCCACCUCCAGAACUUUUUCAUCAUUCCAGACAGAAACUCUGUAGCCAUUACACAACAAUUCCCCAUUCCCCCACCCCUUAGUGUAGGU
rnacentral:lncRNA from 1 species